AGAGGAUUAGCUCAGUAGGUUUAGAGCAACACUUUUACACAGUGAGGGUCAUCAGUUCGAUUCUGGUAUCCUCUA
rnacentral:tRNA from 1 species